UACGUAGGGGGCGAGCGUUGUCCGGAUUUAUUGGGCGUAAAGAGCGUGUAGGCGGUUCGGUAAGUCUGUCGUGAAAUCCUGAGGCUCAACCUCGGGCGUGCGAUGGAUACUGCCGGGCUAGAGGGUGGUAGAGGCGAGUGGAAUUCCCGGCGUAGCGGUGAAAUGCGUAGAGAUCCGGAGGAACACCAGUGGCGAAGGCGACACGCUGGGCCGUACCUGACACUGAUGCGCGACAGCAUGGGGAGCAAACAGG
rnacentral:rRNA from 1 species